rnacentral:rRNA from 1 species
AGUGAACGCUGGCGGUAGGCCUAACACAUGCAAGUCGAACGGCAGCACAGUAAGAGCUUGCUCUUACGGGUGGCGAGUGGCGGACGGGUGAGGAAUACAUCGGAAUCUACUUUUUCGUGGGGGAUAACGUAGGGAAACUUACGCUAAUACCGCAUACGACCUACGGGUGAAAGCAGGGGAUCUUCGGACCUUGCGCGAUUGAAUGAGCCGAUGUCGGCUUAGCUAGUUGGCGGGGUAAAGGCCCACCAAGGCGACGAUCCGUAGCUGGUCUGAGAGGAUGAUCAGCCACCCUGGAACUGAGACACGGUCCAGACUCCUACGGGAGGCAGCAGUGGGGAAUAUUGGACAAUGGGCGCAAGCCUGAUCCAGCCAUACCGCGUGGGUGAAGAAGGCCUUCGGGUUGUAAAGCCCUUUUGUUGGGAAAGAAAAGCAGCAGGUUAAUACCCCGCUGUUCUGACGGUACCCAAAGAAUAAGCACCGGCUAACUUCGUG